rnacentral:lncRNA from 1 species
AAAAUGUGGCUUUUGUAAUUUUUCUGCGGUUCUUGAUUUAUGCAACAUUGCCAUCUAGUGGUUAAUUUUUGUAAUUGCUUUAAUCUGACAAAAUGUAUUUAGGCUACGUGAUGUAUUGUUGCAUAGUUCUAUUUUUUGGUGAGCUCACAUUUGCAUUGAAGUUACAUUAUGACAUCACAUAGUGAAGUUCUCUGUCUUGUAAUUCUAGAAUGGCUGGUUACAGUUACAUUCAAAGGCCGAUCAUAUAGAUGUGUAGAUCCGGUUUCCUUUUCCUCUCAAUCCUCUGAGUAUUUUCGGAGAAUUUAGGAAAAGAGAAUGUCGGACCAAUCCAAAUGCACCACCAUCUAUAUGUCUCGGGAGUUGAGACAGGCCAGCGACAAGGCUCUAUCGACAGGUGCUCAAGAGAUACGCUUUCCAGACCAUAAAUCACCACCAUCUCUUCGAAUUGGUCAAAUUCAGUCACACCAUUUGAGUUUAGGAAUCCGCCGCUCUUUCGCCUCCACGGACCUGCUCACCAAUGCGCAUCCGCAUUCAGCACACAGUGCACUUUCCCUGGACAGCCUGGAGGGGGUGCUAUCGCUACACUCAGACUCUAGAGUGGAGCUCCAGCCUACCAGUGACACCACCCUGAACCCCAGGAGCUCCCACAGCAGCCGGCUUUCCCUGGAGGCCAUAGCGCUGCCUGCAGGCGGGGAGGGGAAGUGCAGCGACGGAAAAAAUAGUUUGGGCACGGAGCACGAGGAGAACUGGCAGGACGCCAGGGACGGCGCCAGCGAGUUGCACCCUGAGGAUGAUGAGGAUUCGGGGUCCCUUGAGUCCAUCGAUGAGGAAGAGGAGGAGGAAGGGUUAAUGGUGGUAAACCUCAAAGCAAGUAAAGAGAAAAGGAAAAAGAGACAUGAUGUGGAGGGGACUUCAACUGAGAGCCCAUCAAAGUACCUACAGGAAUUCCAUAGUUUACCCAAGAGGCUAGUGCCCUCUGAGAUCACCCACUGUCUGUAUGAACUAGAGGAGGAGUGCAGGGGAGUGGAGAGAGAGAGCGACAGUGUCAAAUGGAAGAUGGAGCUAAUUCAUCGCAGCGUGGUCACAGUCCAGGAAACACUGCGGACUCUUCUGAAACGCCUGGUGGAGGCUCAGAGCAACGAAGCCCUGGACCCAACCCCAAUACCGACCACCCACCACCUCCUCUCCACCACCCACCACCGCCCCCCUCACUCGCCCUCUCACUCCCUCUUCCACUCCGCCAACCCUCUCUUGCUGGCAGACGCCCCCACCAAGAUCCUUUCCACCUCCCAGGUGAACCAGGUGCCCUCCAACCUGUCCCAGUGUACACACCACCACUGCCUGGCUCACCGUUCUGUGGCGCGCCGUCCAUCCGAGACUUGCCUGACCGAGGCCAAUGCCACCCAGACCCAGGGCCACUGCUGCCCCAGGACCACAAGCCCUGGAACAGCCACCCUGACCAGCUGUGCCCAGCGGGGGAAGGAGAGGGCAGCAGCCCUCCAUGCCAUCACUGACCUGAGGAUGGACGUAGAGCACCUGCGCGCGGCCUACGAGGAGGGGCGCCAGGAACACCGGGAGACCCUGGGGGUGCUGAGGGCCUUCCAGAAGGACAUGGGUACCCUGGUGUCCCACUGGCAGAGAGACAGACAGGACAGACAGAAGCAGAGUGACGUUGGCACACAGCUGGAGGCUAUCAGACAGCAAUCCAACAACGUCACUGAGAUGUGA